rnacentral:rRNA from 1 species
UACGGGGGGGGCAAGCGUUGUUCGGAAUUACUGGGCGUAAAGCGCACGUAGGUGGCUUGGUAAGUUGGAUGUGAAAUCCCCGGGCUUAACUUGGGAAUUGCAUUCAAGACUGCCUUGCUAGAGUGUGGAAGAGGGAAGCGGAAUUCCAGGUGUAGCGGUGAAAUGCGUAGAUAUCUGGAGGAACAUCAGUGGCGAAGGCGGCUUCCUGGUCCAACACUGACACUGAGGUGCGAAAGCGUGGGGAGCAAACAGG